rnacentral:rRNA from 1 species
GAUGAACGCUGGCGGCGUGCCUAAUACAUGCAAGUCGAGCGAACAGAUGAGGAGCUUGCUCCUCUGACGUUAGCGGCGGACGGGUGAGUAACACGUGGAUAACCUACCUAUAAGACUGGGAUAACUUCGGGAAACCGGAGCUAAUACCGGAUAAUAUAUUGAACCGCAUGGUUCAAUAGUGAAAGACGGUUUUGCUGUCACUUAUAGAUGGAUCCGCGCCGCAUUAGCUAGUUGGUAAGGUAACGGCUUACCAGGGCAACGAGGCGUAGCCGACCUGAGAGGGUGAUCGGCCACACUGGAACUGAGACACGGUCCAGACUCCUACGGGAGGCAGCAGUAGGGAAUCUUCCGCAAUGGGCGAAAGCCUGACGGAGCAACGCCGCGUGAGUGAUGAAGGUCUUCGGAUCGUAAAACUCUGUUAUUAGGGAAGAACAAAUGUGUAAGUAACUAUGCACGUCUUGACGGUACCUAAUCAGAAAGCCACGGCUAACUACGUG